GACGACGGGUCGGCACCUCCUCUCCUCUUCCUCCCGGCCAAUCCUCCUCUCUCCUCGAGCUUCCUCGCCGGCCGGCUACCACGGUACCACCGCUGCCACUUUUCCACAGCCGUCAAUGACCACGGAGGCCAACAGAAGAGAAGAGCCAGGAAGGCCCCCGCCGUCGCGGCGCCUGCCACCGCCGCGUGCACGGGCGGGUGCGGCGAUCCGGUGUUACUAUUCUCGGCCGUAGAGUUGGCCGGAGCGCUCACCACUGCGAUCGAGCUGGUGGGAUGCAUCGAAACCAUGGACGCCGGCGGCGACGGCGUCGUGCUUAUAUCGGGAAGCUGCGGAGGAGAGGGAAGCAUCGGACGAAACCGGCGCAUCUGGCGGCGAUGAAGGCGUCGCCAUACGUUCAUCGCCGUCAUACGCGGCGAUGGCUUGGAUGACGAGGGGCUACAAGGCGUCUGAGUACGCCAUCAGAGGGGAGCUCAUGGUGAAAGCUGACACAUAGCUUUGGAGUUCUCGUUCUCUAGAUCGUCAGCAGCAGGAAGAACACGGAUCUCUCUUUCCCGAACGAAAUUCAGUCCCUGCCUGAACAUGCAUGGAGGCUGUACGAGCAAUCCAAGGUAAUGGAGCUCAUCGACGCGAAGAUGCAGGCCAAUGGGUUCGACGAGAAGCGGCAAGUGAUGCAGGUGUGCUCCUGGAGAGAGGAGAGGGAGAGGGAGAUGGAGAGAGAGGAGGAAGAAGAGGAGGGGUGAGAAUGACAUGUGGGGCCCACAUGGCCCCAGCAUUUUUUAAUUAGUUCUUUUGGUGUAACUGACAUGUGAGGUCACUCUUUUUUAUUAAUCUUCGAAUCAAAUUGCCACGUCAA